ACCAGAGCCAUAUCGAGAGAGAGUUGCGACAACUCCAUUGACUCCAAUGGAACGCUUUUUUUUACAGCAAUGGCGGCUCGUGGAGCCUCUAAAUAGUUCCCGGAAGUAGCAGCAAACCGAUGCCGCGCCGUAGAGAUGCAGCAGAAUUAACCGUUUGCGACGCACUUUUAAAAGGUGGAGGAUUAGUGGUGCCACUGGACUGUUCUUUGAUGGAGCAUCAGUGAGGAUGCAGACGCAGGUAACUGGCUGAUGGUUCACUGGAAUGCUGACUGGGUGCUGACUGACUUGCUGCUGGUUGACUCGGCAGUGUCACCUUUCCCCGUCUCUCCUCUCUAGCCAUGUCCUCUAUUUCUUCACUAUCACUUUCCCUUCUCUGAGUGUCCUCAUUCUUUUUUCCCUCAACCUUUGAAACUGAUAGA